ensembl:lncRNA
UCAGUUUUUCCUCUGUCCUGGUAAUCCUCUGCCCUGGCUGCACAUUGGAACCACCUGUCUUGAUUAAUUGGCAGUACAAGGAAGGGGGAUUCAUUGGCCACUCUGUUCUCAUUGGAAUUACUUAAAUCAAAUUUAAAGCCUAGAAAAGAGAACACCGAUGUCUGUGUUCCACUCUAAACCAAUUAAAUUAGAAUCGCUGGAGUUGAAGCUCAGGUGAUCCUGGUUUCAAAAUUCUCUAGGUGAUUCUGGUAAGUAAUCAGCACUAAGAACUGCUGCUCUAUCCUGUGGAUCCUUUAUAUUGAAGUUAGACUCAGGCUAUACAUUUUUUGUCUGGAAUACUUUGCAUAUUGCAAUCACCUUGGAAGCUUUAAAAAAUACUGAUACAUGGGGGUCCACCCCAGAUAUCCUGAUAUAGUUGGUCUGGCGGCAUGGCCUAGGCUUUGGGAGUUUUGAAAUCUGCUCAGGUGAUUUUAAUGCAGCCAGGAAGACCCACUGCUUUAGAUUAUUUUCUUGUUUAAUUUGCAUCCUAUCAGGAGGCACACAAUGUCACACUAUUCCAUUAUUUGUGAUGCCAGUUUCAAUCACUGGCUUAAGGUGGUCACAUCAGACCUCUGCAUCACCUCUUCAUCGCAAAUGUACUAGUGCUCCUGUUCCCAGAGAGUAUGGCUGAGUGCAGCCCUAAGUCUGCAGCCCUUGCUGCGGUGCCACUACGCCGCAUCCAACUCUGGUUACCAUUGGACCUGUGGGGGCCCUGCUCAGUGAUUGGUCGACGCUGCAAUGGGCCCCACCCACAAGCAACCAACUGUCAAAGAGAGACCUUUUAGUGGUCCUGCUCAAUCAUUGGUCAGCACAGCAGUGAGCCCCGCCCACAAGCAACCAGCUGUCAAGGAGGGACUGUUAGUUGAGAGGAUUCAGCCAACCGAAUCAGGCAGUGGAGUGGUGGUCGUCAGGCAGAGAGUGAGGCUUCAGCAAUACGUGAACCGUGAACUUCGAUAUGUUCAAGCUGGUUUUAGAAAAGGCAGAGGAACUAGAGAUCAAAUUGCCAACAUCCGCUGGAUCAUUAAAAAAGGAAGAGAGUUCCAGGAAUACAUCUAUUUCUGCUUUAUUGACUAUGCCAAAGCCUUUGACUGUGUGGAUCACAAUCAACUGUGGAAAAUUCUGAAAGAGAUGGGAAUACCAGACCACCUGACCUGCCUCUUGAGAAACCUAUAUGCAGGUCAGGAAGCAAC